rnacentral:tRNA from 1 species
GGACUCUAGCUCAGUGGUAGAGUGCUUUCCUUGCAUGUAUGAGGCACUGGGUUUGAUCCUCAGCACCA